GACGAACGCUGGCGGCGUGCUUAACACAUGCAAGUCGAACGGCAAGGCCCUGCUUUUGUGGGGUGCUCGAGUGGCGAACGGGUGAGUAACACGUGCGUAACCUGCCCUUGACUUUGGGAUAACUUCAGGAAACUGGGGCUAAUACCAGAUCGGACCUCCUGCUGCAUGGUGGGGGUUGGAAAGUUUCGGCGGUUGGGGAUGGACUCCCGGCUUAGCAGCGUGUUGGUGGGGUAGUGGCUUACCAAGGCUUUGACGGGUAGCCGGCCUGUGAGGGUGACCGGCCACAUUGGGACUGAGAUACGGCCCAGACUCCUACGGGAGGCAGCAGUGGGGAAUAUUGCACAAUGGGCGGAAGCCUGAUGCAGCAACGCCGCGUGCGGGAUGACGGCCUUCGGGUUGUAAACCGCUUUCGCCUGUGACGAAGCGUGAGUGGCGGUAAUGGGUAAAGAAGCACCGGCUAACUACGUG
rnacentral:rRNA from 1 species